GAUGAACGCUGGCGGCGUGCUUAACACAUGCAAGUCGAGCGAACGGACGAGGAGUUUGCUGCUUUGACGUUAGCGGCGGACGGGUGAGUAACACGUGGAUAAUCUACCUAUAAUACUGGGAUAAUCUCGGGAAACCGGAGCUAACACCGGAUAAUAUCUUGAACCGCAUGGGUCAAAAGUGAAAGACGGUCUUGCUGUCACUUAUAGAUGGAUCCGCGCUGCAUUAGCUAGUUGGUAAGGUAACGGCUUAGCAAGGCAACGAUGCAUAGCCGACGGCAGAGGCGGAUAGGCGGCAUGAGAGCUGGACCGGGGACAUGACGACUGCGAGAGGGCGCAGUAGGCAAUCUGCCGCAGUGGGGGAGAACAUGACGGAGCGGGGCGGAGUGUGUGGUGAAAGUGUUCGGUGCGUGAAGCUCUGUUACUGGGGGUAAACCGAUGUGGACGUUGCUGAGGCGUGAGUGACGGUAACUGGUCAAGAAGCCACGGCUAACUACGUG
rnacentral:rRNA from 1 species